AGAACCUUACCUGCUCUUGACAUGUCACGUAUGGUCGCUGGAGACACCUUCCUUCAGUUCGGCUGGCGUGAACACAGGUGCUGCAUGGCUGUCGUCAGCUCGUGUCGUGAGAUGUUGGGUUAAGUCCCGCAACGAGCGCAACCCUCGCCCUUAGUUGCCAUCAUUAAGUUGGGCACUCUAAGGGGACUGCCAGUGAUAAGCUGGAGGAAGGUGGGGAUGACGUCAAGUCCUCAUGGCCCUUACGGGCUGGGCUACACACGUGCUACAAUGGUGGUGACAGUGGGAUGCAAAGGGGCGACCCUAAGCAAAUCUCCAAAAGCCAUCUCAGUUCGGAUUGCACUCUGCAACUCGAGUGCAUGAAGGUGGAAUCGCUAGUAAUCGUGGAUCAGCAUGCCACGGUGAAUACGUUCCCGGGCCUUGUACACACCGCCCGUCACACCAUGGGAUUGUUUUACCCGAAGGCGUUUCGCUAACC
rnacentral:rRNA from 1 species